rnacentral:rRNA from 1 species
AGCGAACGCUGGCGGCAGGCCUAACACAUGCAAGUCGAACGGAUCCUUCGGGAUUAGUGGCGGACGGGUGAGUAACACGUGGGAACGUGCCCUUUGGUUCGGAACAACUCAGGGAAACUUGAGCUAAUACCGGAUGUGCCCUUCGGGGGAAAGAUUUAUCGCCAUUGGAGCGGCCCGCGUCUGAUUAGCUAGUUGGUGAGGUAAAGGCUCACCAAGGCGACGAUCAGUAGUUGGUCUGAGAGGAUGAUCAGCCACAUUGGGACUGAGACACGGCCCAAACUCCUACGGGAGGCAGCAGUGGGGAAUCUUGCGCAAUGGGCGAAAGCCUGACGCAGCCAUGCCGCGUGAAUGAUGAAGGUCUUAGGAUUGUAAAAUUCUUUCACCGGGGACGAUAAUGACGGUACCUGAAGAAUAAGCACCGGCUAACUACGUGCCAGCCGCCGCCGUAACAC